GAUGAACGCUAGCUACAAGCUUAACACAUGCAAGUCGCGGGGCAGCAUGGGGGUUGCUUGCAAUCCCCGAUGGCGACCGGCGCACGGGUGAGUAACGCGUAUCCAACCUGCCCUUCACCACGGGAUAACCCGGCGAAAGUCGGACUAAUACCGUAUGUUGUCCAUUGACGGCAUCCGAUUUGGACGAAAGGUUUGGCGGUGAAGGAUGGGGAUGCGUCCGAUUAGCUGGACGGCGGGGUGACGGCCCACCGUGGCGACGAUCGGUAGGGGUUCUGAGAGGAAGGUCCCCCACACUGGAACUGAGACACGGUCCAGACUCCUACGGGAGGCAGCAGUGAGGAAUAUUGGUCAAUGGGCGUAAGCCUGAACCAGCCAAGUAGCGUGCAGGAUGACGGCCCUAUGGGUUGUAAACUGCUUUUAUGCGGGGAUAAAGUGGCCCACGUGUGGGUUUUUGCAGGUACCGCAUGAAUAAGGACCGGCUAAUUCCGUG
rnacentral:rRNA from 1 species